rfam:Helianthus annuus linkage group 8, whole genome shotgun sequence.
AGGAGCCGUAUGAGAUGAAAAAUCUCAUGUACGGUUCUGGCAAUAGGGAUGAGAACAGUGAUGUUCUCAUCUACUAUGAU